CCCUUUCUCCCUCCUCCUCGUUCUCGAGCACAAAAGCUCCCUUUAAACAUCUCAUCCCUAAAUUCUUCUUUCCCCUUCCUCCCUCGCUCCCGUUCUCGAGCGACCGCUGUGAACUCGGAAAUCAUGGCGGCUGUGAACUCUAGUUCCAAAAACGCGAGGAAGGAGGAAGUGAAGAAGGAAACUGGACUUGGGUUGACCCACAAAGGAUGAGAAUUUCGGAGAAUGGUAUUCCGAGGUUGUUGUUAAUUGUGAAAUGAUUGAAUUCUAUGGCAUAUCUGGGUGCUAUAUCCUGAGGCCCUGGACAAUGGCAAUUUGGGAAACCUUACAGGUUGCUUGGGUUACUCAGUCUGGACAGUCCGAACUGGAAGUUCCUAUAGCAAUACGUCCCACAAGCAAUAUUGUAAGAUGGUAGUUCACCCAUCCUACUCCUUUCAUCAGGGACCCUUUGCUUUGCUUUGGGAACACCUGCAACAACGUGGACAUACUGGGGAAGAAGCUACUAAGCGUUUUGCAUUAUUUAUUUGUCACUGACUCAUGCCUUCAAUUGCUAAAAUUGGAGCAUGUUUCCAGGGUUUGCUUGAUUCAUAAUUUUCUUGCUUAUUUUGGUGAAGUCUUUCUGAUUCUAUACUUUAAGAUGUUUGACUUGAUAGCUGAUCUGAUUUUAGCUAAUACUUAAUAUUAUUCGAGAUCCAAAAACCCGUUAUGCGGUUGACAUGAUUUGAGAUUAGUAUUCACUGUGGUAGUAGAGUUAAUCCAGAACUUACCAGAAUUCAAGCUGUUGCUUAGUAUAAGCAUUCCAUGUGACCAAACUGCUACAUCAUCCAGAUGUGAUCCAAAAGUUUGGUUUAUUCAUUAACGUCUGCAACUAUUCUGAUGUUAGAUGGUAAAUACUGAUCGAUAUUUUUAACCAUGAACCUCAAAUCAGUAUCAAACCUUAUGAUCCAUCUAAGGUCAUGUACUUAUAUUUUCUGUUCUUUUACUAAGUGAUAUUGUUGGCAAUAUAAAAUUGAUAUCAAACUGAUAUAUAAAACCUACAUGCCAGACAAAAGAUGAGAAUUUUGUUUUGAAUUGUGCCAUACAUAGAUCAUCAACAGCCUAUGUUAUUUUGGAUUGCUAGCCUAGGCAUGGAGUUUGGUAGCUUGUGAGGCUGCAACUUUUGGAUAGGGGACAAGAAAGAUAUGGUCUUGUUUGUCCCAUUAGUCAUGUGUGAUGAAUCCUCAUCCCUUUUUACUGUCAUUUCGAGCUAAAAAUAUAUCAUAAAAGAGAUUAUCCUGUUAUUUAUCUUUCAUAAAAGAAUCUUUUUUCUGGGAUGAUCUGAUUUGGCCAGGCUGCGGCGAUGAGGAGUCUGCAGGAGAGGAACACGAGGCUGGAAAACAUGUGCUGGUGAAUUUGGAAUUUGACCCUCAAGAAGAAACCAUCCACAUGUACAGACAACUUGUGCUGCCAGUCUGCAAUAAUACAAGAUCUUUCUCAUACUCUGUCCACUGUUUCUGGUUGCUUGCAGAAGGAGCUAAUAAUACAUGCCCUCAUCCAAAUGCCAAAGGUCGGGCCAUAUCUCUGUCCCAUAAACACAGUACUGAAGCAUCGGUGACAAAUGCCAAUGCCUAUAUCUACACGAAACACUGCAUUAGAUUUGAGACUCAUUCUUCAUUAGUGCAUAAGCUUAGUUCCAGUUUUCCAUUGUCACAUUCAUUGUAUAUAUAAAGAUGUGAAAAGAAUUCGAU